AACCUCCGCAAUGUGAGAAAUCGCGACGGGGGGAUUCCAAGUGCCAUUCUUAACGGGAUGGCUUUUCAUUAGUGUAAAGAGCUUUUGGAAUAAGGGCUGGGCAAGACCGGUGCCAGCCGCCGCGGUAACACCGGCAGCUCUAGUGGUAGCAGUUUUUAUUGGGCCUAAAGCGUCCGUAGCCGGUUUAAUAAGUCUCUGGUGAAAUCCUGUAGCUUAACUGUGGGAAUUGCUGGAGAUACUAUUAGACUUGAGACCGGGAGAGGUUAGAGGUACUCCCAGGGUAGAGGUGAAAUUCUGUAAUCCUGGGAGGACCGCCUGUUGCGAAGGCGUCUAACUGGAACGGUUCUGACGGUGAGGGACGAAAGUUAGGGGCGCGAACCGGGAUUAGAUACCCGGGUAGUCCUAACUGUAAACGAUGCGGACUUGGUGUUGGGGUGGCUUUGAGCUGCUCCAGUGCCGAAGGGAAGCUGUUAAGUCCGCCGCCUGGGAGUACGGUCGCAAGACUGAAACUUAAAGGAAUU
rnacentral:rRNA from 1 species